rnacentral:rRNA from 1 species
UACGUAGGUGGCAAGCGUUAUCCGGAUUUAUUGGGCGUAAAGGGAACGCAGGCGGUCUUUUAAGUCUGAUGUGAAAGCCUUCGGCUUAACCGGAGUAGUGCAUUGGGAACUGGGAGACUUGAGUGCAGAAGAGGAGAGUGGAACUCCACGUGUAGCGGUGAAAUGCGUAGAUAUAUGGAAGAACACCAGUGGCGAAAGCGGCUCUCUGGUCUGUAACUGACGCUGAGGUUCGAAAGCGUGGGUAGCAAACAGG